UACCCCCCAAAUCCCUAGUUUUAACCCCCAAAUCCCCCUCUCUAAAUCCCAAAACCGCCAUUUCUGACCACAAAAAUCCCCAAGUUUAACCCGAAAUUCCCAGUUUUUAACCAAAAUCCCAACUUUUGACCCCUUAUUGCUGGAUGUUUUUGUACUCAUUUUCUUUCCCUUUAUCCCAGUAUAGGAACUGUCAGGUCCUAGCCUGAGCUGGUGAUUGCGCACCUGGUGAGGGGUGUGGCCAACCCUGCCAGCGCAGGUGGGAGCCAUUCAGCUGUGGGAUUGGAGGGGUGGGGCCUGGCUGCAUCCCUCCCUGGGCUCAUUUAAGGGCUGGCAGCCGCAAGAGUAGCAUCUCUACGUGGAUACUGUCUCCUUUGGAGUGUGGAAUGAGCCUUGGUCCUCAGAAAGGGCUAGCUCUGCAGCUGUGGGACCCAAUGGUGUGACAAAGUGAGGCACCCGGUCUGCUGAACACUGGGACUGGCACAGAGAGGCCCUGUGACCGUUGUGGAUCAUACCAACAGCUGCACUCAGUGAGUUUCCCAGAGCUGCUCAGCACAUGGAAUUCCCCAGCUGCUCCAACUGUGCCCUGAUCUCCAAACUUCUUUGCGUCGUUGUGUCUCACAGCCCCAGGCGUCUCGCUGCGGUGCUGCUGGUGGCAGCGGAGAACUGCGGUGCUCCUGGGCGGUGCAUGAACUGCAUGGAGAUCUGUGGCUCUUCAUGAAGUGAGCAAGAAACGGAAAGCUGCAUUUCCUGGAAUGGCUCAGAACCCAACUUGUCUGUCCGGUAACUGGUUGUCCGUACAGGUAAGGGCAACGUACACCUACCAGUGUUUACCUGUGACUCAGUGU